AUUGAACGCUGGCGGCAUGCUUUACACAUGCAAGUCGAACGGCAGCGGGGUAGUGCUUGCACUACUGCCGGCGAGUGGCGAACGGGUGAGUAAUAUAUCGGAACGUACCGAGUAAUGGGGGAUAACCAAUCGAAAGAUUGGCUAAUACCGCAUACGUCCUGAGGGAGAGAGCGGGGGAUCGCAAGACCUCGCGUUAUUCGAGCGGCCGAUAACUGAUUAGCUAGUUGGUGGGGUAAAGGCCUACCAAGGCGACGAUCAGUAGCGGGUCUGAGAGGACGAUCCGCCACACUGGGACUGAGACACGGCCCAGACUCCUACGGGAGGCAGCAGUGGGGAAUUUUGGACAAUGGGGGCAACCCUGAUCCAGCCAUGCCGCGUGUAUGAAGAAGGCCUUCGGGUUGUAAAGUACUUUUGUUAGGGAAGAAAAGGGAAGUGCUAAUACCACUUUUUGCUGACGGUACCUAAAGAAUAAGCACCGGCUAACUACGUG
rnacentral:rRNA from 1 species